rnacentral:rRNA from 1 species
UCGAGCGAACAGAGAAGGAGCUUGCUCCUUUGACGUUAGCGGCGGACGGGUGAGUAACACGUGGGCAACCUACCCUAUAGUUUGGGAUAACUCCGGGAAACCGGGGCUAAUACCGAAUAAUCUAUUGUCCCUCAUGGGACAAUACUGAAAGACGGUUUCGGCUGUCGCUAUAGGAUGGGCCCGCGGCGCAUUAGCUAGUUGGUGAGGUAACGGCUCACCAAGGCAACGAUGCGUAGCCGACCUGAGAGGGUGAUCGGCCACACUGGGACUGAGACACGGCCCAGACUCCUACGGGAGGCAGCAGUAGGGAAUCUUCCACAAUGGGCGAAAGCCUGAUGGAGCAACGCCGCGUGAGUGAAGAAGGAUUUCGGUUCGUAAAACUCUGUUGUAAGGGAAGAACAAGUACAGUAGUAACUGGCUGUACCUUGACGGUACCUUAUUAGAAAGCCACGGCUAACUACGUGCCAGCAGCCGCGGUAAUACGUAGGUGGCAAGCGUUGUCCGGAAUUAUUGGGCGUAAAGCGCGCGCAGGUGGUUUCUUAAGUCUGAUGUGAAAGCCCACGGCUCAACCGUGGAGGGUCAUUGGAAACUGGGAGACUUGAGUGCAGAAGAGGAUAGUGGAAUUCCAAGUGUAGCGGUGAAAUGCGUAGAGAUUUGGAGGAACACCAGUGGCGAAAGCGACUAUCUGGUCUGUAACUGACACUGAGGCGCGAAAGCGUGGGGAGCAAAC